CAACGAUGUACCUCCUUGGUAAAUUUCUGUAAUAUGUGCCCACUCUCUCUCUCACAAGAAGGGCUUGCAGGAUUUCAUUGUGCUACUGGGAAGAUUUUUCCUGAGGAUUUGGCCCAGCUGAGCCCCUGUCCUGCGUAUUUACUCAAAAAAGAAAUAUCUUCUUGGGCACUUCUAUUCUUCAACCAUUAAAGCCUGAGAUUUGUCAAAGAAAAGACUCCAGUCAAGAGAUGGAAUCUGAGCAUCUUCUGGGUAUGACUCCGGACCUUAUUUUUUAUUUUUAGACCAUAUUCUAAAAGCCUCCAGAAAUCAGAAAAGCACAGAGAUAGGGUUUUUCAGACAGCAUCCAACUUGUUUUGACAUUCUGCUGUCCUGUUCUGCCAAGAACCAAACGAAAAUGUUGAAUCAAGUCAUUCCUUCUAUUUUGCUAAUCCAAUAAUUUAGGAUUUAUUUGCCAGGGAUUUAAUUACUUUUUAAUCCUUUUCAAAAGCUGUAAUAGAAGUUUUCUUGCAUAAAAUUAACUAGAAAGCAUGGCCUCGGUUUUCCCUAUCUUCUCCUUACUUUCCUUUUAUAAAAGCUUAAAAGUUUUGGUAGGCUUCCCUCUCCUCUCCUCCUCACUUUCCAGUAGUUCACAUAAACCCAUUACUAGUAAGGAAAUGAUGAAAUCUUGAAGAUGUUUGUUCUGAUUGGGGCACAGUAGGUACACUUUUUCAUAAGGUUUGGCUGUUGUUUUAUUAAACUGGUUUCUGAGUGGUCUAUCCUUUGCUCAUUACAGUUUAUAUAACUUGGGUAAAGGGACUUUUCUUUGAAAAGUUCUCCAGGCACUGCCUCA